AUGGAUGCUGGGCGGCCAACAGCCGGCUCUCAGCCCUUCCCCAAGCUCAGGUGGGGCACGGCCCCUGGACAAGCCAGAAUGCAUGUGAUGUUUCAGGAGCCAGUGACAUUCAAGGAUGUUGCCGUGGACUUCAGCCAGGAUGAAUGGGGACACCUAGACACUGCCCAGAGGCACCUCUACAGGGACGUGAUGCUGGAGAACUACAGGAACCUGGUCUCGCUGGGUAAGAGCAGUUGCCUCUGAGACUCAGAGUCUGCCCUUUGGGUACCUUGGCCUUCUCGAUUAUCAUUGGCUACGGGCCUUCUGGAGAUCAGCUCUGUUCUUGAUAUUGGGCUCCGGGUACAUAUUCUCAGUCCGUUUGUGGCCCAUACACAGUGUGUUUCUACUUCUGUUCCUGGAAAAAAAAAGCCCUGUGCUUUGCAGAGCUAGACUUGGCCAGAGUAUUUGGGCUGCCCAGUGGACUGUCCCUUCUUUAUUCUCUUUCCCCAGGGUCCUUCCCAGCGAGGAGGCCUUUGCAGAGGCCAGGUUCCCAUCCUGCUGGGACCAAUAAGCCCUUCCUCUCUCUGAGCCCAGGCAGUCUCCCUCCCAAAGAGCACAGAGGUGCCCUCUCCCUUCCCCAACCACCCUGCAGGCUAUGACUUCUCUUCCCUCAAGGCCAGGGGCUGGCGCUGAGCUCUUGGCUGACUCCCUUCUCCCUGAGCAUAAGCAGACACCACCCAUUUCUCUCCCCAUGAGCAGGGCUGGUCCGAGCCCAGUCUGAGGUGGUCUCUCACUUGGAACGAGGGGACGAGCCAUGGAGGCCGGAGAGAGGAGAGCUCCGAGGCACCCAUCCAGGUGAGCAAAUGACGAACCCAGGGAGGCGGUGAGGACUCAGAGCGACAGCGUGGCAGGGAGGAUUCCAUGGGGGGCUCUGCCUAGUGCCCCCGAGUCUGUGGGGCCUUCGAGAGCAUUAGGCAUAUGUGCAGUCGUGGACUGAAGUGAACGUAAGGGAUCUUUAUCUCCACUCCUGUACUCUCAUUCCUUAGGACCAUCCCCCCCAAGGCAUACCCCCUCCUCAGCAUCCCCCCUCCUCAACAUCCCC
rnacentral:lncRNA from 1 species